AAUCAACGCUGGCGGCGUGCCUCAGACAUGCAAGUCGAACGAUUAAAGCUCUCUUCGGAGAGUGCAUAAAGUGGCGCACGGGUGAGUAACACGUAAGUAAUCUACCUUCGAGUGGGGAAUAACGUCCGGAAACGGACGCUAAUACCGCAUAAUGCAGCGGCAUCGCAAGAUGACAGUUGUUAAAGGAGCAAUUCGCUUGAAGAGGAGCUUGCGGCAGAUUAGCUAGUUGGUAAGGUAACGGCUUACCAAGGCUACGAUCUGUAACCGGUCUAAGAGGACGGUCGGUCACACUGACACUGAAUAACGGGUCAGACUCCUACGGGAGGCAGCAGUCGGGAAUUUUGGGCAAUGGGCGAAAGCCUGACCCGGCAACGCCGCGUGAAGGAUGAAGUAUUUCGGUAUGUAAACUUCGAAAGAAUAGGAAGAAUAAAUGACGGUACUAUUUAU
rnacentral:rRNA from 1 species